GCCAGGCGUGGUGGCGCACACCUGUAAUCCAAGCUACUUGGGAGGCUGAGGCAUGAGAAUUGCUUGAACCCGGGAGGUGGAGGUUGCAGUGAGCUGAGAUUGCGCCACUGCACUCCAGCCUGGGCAACAGAGUGAGACCCUGUCUCAA
rnacentral:sRNA from 1 species